rnacentral:rRNA from 1 species
AACGAACGCUGGCGGCAUGCCUAACACAUGCAAGUCGAACGAGACCUUCGGGUCUAGUGGCGCACGGGUGCGUAACGCGUGGGAACCUGCCCUUAGGUUCGGAAUAACUCCCCGAAAGGGGUGCUAAUACCGGAUAAUGUCUUCGGACCAAAGAUUUAUCGCCUUUGGAUGGGCCCGCGUUGGAUUAGCUAGUUGGUAGGGUAAAAGCCUACCAAGGCGACGAUCCAUAGCUGGUCUGAGAGGAUGAUCAGCGACACUGGGACUGAGACACGGCCCAGACUCCUACGGGAGGCAGCAGUGGGGAAUAUUGGACAAUGGGCGAAAGCCUGAUCCAGCAAUGCCGCGUGAGUGAUGAAGGCCUUAGGGUUGUAAAGCUCUUUUACCCGGGAUGAUAAUGACAUUACCGGGAGAAUAAGCUCCGGCUAACUCCGUG